rnacentral:rRNA from 1 species
ACUAAGCGUACACGGUGGAUGCCCUGGCAGUCAGAGGCGAUGAAGGACGUGCUAAUCUGCGAUAAGCGUCGGUAAGGUGAUAUGAACCGUUAUAACCGGCGAUUUCCGAAUGGGGAAACCCAGUGUGUUUCGACACACUAUCAUUAACUGAAUCCAUAGGUUAAUGAGGCGAACCGGGGGAACUGAAACAUCUAAGUACCCCGAGGAAAAGAAAUCAACCGAGAUUCCCCCAGUAGCGGCGAGCGAACGGGGAGCAGCCCAGAGCCUGAAUCAGUGUGUGUGUUAGUGGAAGCGUCUGGAAAGGCGCGCGAUACAGGGUGACAGCCCCGUACACAAAAAUGCACAUGCUGUGAGCUCGAUGAGUAGGGCGGGACACGUGGUAUCCUGUCUGAAUAUGGGGGGACCAUCCUCCAAGGCUAAAUACUCCUGACUGACCGAUAGUGAACCAGUACCGUGAGGGAAAGGCGAAAAGAACCCCGGCGAGGGGAGUGAAAAAGAACCUGAAACCGUGUACGUACAAGCAGUGGGAGCACGCUUAGGCGUGUGACUGCGUACCUUUUGUAUAAUGGGUCAGCGACUUAUAUUCUGUAGCAAGGUUAACCGAAUAGGGGAGCCGAAGGGAAACCGAGUCUUAACUGGGCGUUAAGUUGCAGGGUAUAGACCCGAAACCCGGUGAUCUAGCCAUGGGCAGGUUGAAGGUUGGGUAACACUAACUGGAGGACCGAACCGACUAAUGUUGAAAAAUUAGCGGAUGACUUGUGGCUGGGGGUGAAAGGCCAAUCAAACCGGGAGAUAGCUGGUUCUCCCCGAAAGCUAUUUAGGUAGCGCCUCGUGAAUUCAUCUCCGGGGGUAGAGCACUGUUUCGGCAAGGGGGUCAUCCCGACUUACCAACCCGAUGCAAACUGCGAAUACCGGAGAAUGUUAUCACGGGAGACACACGGCGGGUGCUAACGUCCGUCGUGAAGAGGGAAACAACCCAGACCGCCAGCUAAGGUCCCAAAGUCAUGGUUAAGUGGGAAACGAUGUGGGAAGGCCCAGACAGCCAGGAUGUUGGCUUAGAAGCAGCCAUCAUUUAAAGAAAGCGUAAUAGCUCACUGGUCGAGUCGGCCUGCGCGGAAGAUGUAACGGGGCUAAACCAUGCACCGAAGCUGCGGCAGCGACGCUGAUGCGUUGUUGGGUAGGGGAGCGUUCUGUAAGCCUGCGAAGGUGUGCUGUGAGGCAUGCUGGAGGUAUCAGAAGUGCGAAUGCUGACAUAAGUAACGAUAAAGCGGGUGAAAAGCCCGCUCGCCGGAAGACCAAGGGUUCCUGUCCAACGUUAAUCGGGGCAGGGUGAGUCGACCCCUAAGGCGAGGCCGAAAGGCGUAGUCGAUGGGAAACAGGUUAAUAUUCCUGUACUUGGUGUUACUGCGAAGGGGGGACGGAGAAGGCUAUGUUGGCCGGGCGACGGUUGUCCCGGUUUAAGCGUGUAGGCUGGUUUUCCAGGCAAAUCCGGAAAAUCAAGGCUGAGGCGUGAUGACGAGGCACUACGGUGCUGAAGCAACAAAUGCCCUGCUUCCAGGAAAAGCCUCUAAGCAUCAGGUAACAUCAAAUCGUACCCCAAACCGACACAGGUGGUCAGGUAGAGAAUACCAAGGCGCUUGAGAGAACUCGGGUGAAGGAACUAGGCAAAAUGGUGCCGUAACUUCGGGAGAAGGCACGCUGAUAUGUAGGUGAAGUCCCUCGCGGAUGGAGCUGAAAUCAGUCGAAGAUACCAGCUGGCUGCAACUGUUUAUUAAAAACACAGCACUGUGCAAACACGAAAGUGGACGUAUACGGUGUGACGCCUGCCCGGUGCCGGAAGGUUAAUUGAUGGGGUUAGCGCAAGCGAAGCUCUUGAUCGAAGCCCCGGUAAACGGCGGCCGUAACUAUAACGGUCCUAAGGUAGCGAAAUUCCUUGUCGGGUAAGUUCCGACCUGCACGAAUGGCGUAAUGAUGGCCAGGCUGUCUCCACCCGAGACUCAGUGAAAUUGAACUCGCUGUGAAGAUGCAGUGUACCCGCGGCAAGACGGAAAGACCCCGUGAACCUUUACUAUAGCUUGACACUGAACAUUGAGCCUUGAUGUGUAGGAUAGGUGGGAGGCUUAGAAGUGUGGACGCCAGUCUGCAUGGAGCCGACCUUGAAAUACCACCCUUUAAUGUUUGAUGUUCUAACGUUGACCCGUAAUCCGGGUUGCGGACAGUGUCUGGUGGGUAGUUUGACUGGGGCGGUCUCCUCCUAAAGAGUAACGGAGGAGCACGAAGGUUGGCUAAUCCUGGUCGGACAUCAGGAGGUUAGUGCAAUGGCAUAAGCCAGCUUGACUGCGAGCGUGACGGCGCGAGCAGGUGCGAAAGCAGGUCAUAGUGAUCCGGUGGUUCUGAAUGGAAGGGCCAUCGCUCAACGGAUAAAAGGUACUCCGGGGAUAACAGGCUGAUACCGCCCAAGAGUUCAUAUCGACGGCGGUGUUUGGCACCUCGAUGUCGGCUCAUCACAUCCUGGGGCUGAAGUAGGUCCCAAGGGUAUGGCUGUUCGCCAUUUAAAGUGGUACGCGAGCUGGGUUUAGAACGUCGUGAGACAGUUCGGUCCCUAUCUGCCGUGGGCGCUGGAGAACUGAGGGGGGCUGCUCCUAGUACGAGAGGACCGGAGUGGACGCAUCACUGGUGUUCGGGUUGUCAUGCCAAUGGCACUGCCCGGUAGCUAAAUGCGGAAGAGAUAAGUGCUGAAAGCAUCUAAGCACGAAACUUGCCCCGAGAUGAGUUCUCCCUGACCCUUUAAGGGUCCUGAAGGAACGUUGAAGACGACGACGUUGAUAGGCCGGGUGUGUAAGCGCAGCGAUGCGUUGAGCUAACCGGUACUAAUGAACCGUGAGGCUUAACC